CAUAGAUAAUAGUGGCGGAGUUGCGUACAACUAGUUUUCGCUUUAAAGUCACCCAUUCCUGUCCAAAUUUCCACCACAUCUCUUCGCAAACCGCAAAUCCAUCUCUAAUCACUUCCUUCGUCUUUGUUCUCAGUUUCAGCAGCUUUAUCUAAUCCGAUAUUCUUUGGGUGUUUGAGAAUCUAUCAACGAUGACUCAUAUCCUUCCGUAGAUCAGCUUUUUCUCUACGCUUCCGACGGUUUGUUGUUUCUUUCCUCCGUUUGGUUCCCGAGAAAACCUUUCCGAUCUUGCACUGCAGAGCGAGAAUUGAAGAUUUUGAAGCUUUUUUUUUUUAAAAAAAAAAUUUCUCGGGAAACAAACGGGUAGCGUAUGUGGAAUUUGAUAACUAAAAGGAAUGGUUUUGUUUCGUGAUCAUGUUUCCCUGUUUGUUUGGAUUUAACUGAAGCGAACGCGGUAACCAGAGAGACCGAGACCGUGAGCGGGCCCAGGCCCGUUCCGGCGGCAAGGUCAAGCAGCCCAAAGGCGACGGUCUCACCCCGGAGCAACGCCGUGAAAGGGAUGCGAAAGCUCUACAGGAAAAGGCGGCGAGGAAAGCCGCGCAAUCUACGGGAGGGAACAAUCCCGGUGGUAAUAAAAAAUGAGAGGAGCUAGAGAUCGAGGAUGUAGGUAGGUAGAUAUGGGAAAGCAUGUACUGGAUCAGAUUUUGGGUUAGUGGUUUUGGGUUUCAUGUGUUUAAUGUCGUUUGAGCGUUUGCUUGGAUGGCAUUGAAAAUCUUGUCUUCUGAGCCUUCGAUUUUUCUCUGAUUUGGAAUGGAAUUCCUUUGUCGCUCUGUGCAA